UACAGGGGGGGCAAGCGUUGUUCGGAAUUACUGGGCGUAAAGGGCUCGUAGGUGGCCAACUAAGUCAGACGUGAAAUCCCUCGGCUUAACCGGGGAACUGCGUCUGAUACUGGAUGGCUUGAGUUCGGGAGAGGGAUGCGGAAUUCCAGGUGUAGCGGUGAAAUGCGUAGAUAUCUGGAGGACCACCGGUGGCGAAGGCGGCAUCCUGGACCGACACUGACACUGAGGAGCGAAAGCCAGGGGAGCAAACGGG
rnacentral:rRNA from 1 species